UAGAGUUUGAUCCUGGCUCAGNAUGAACGCUGGCGGCGUGCCUAAUACAUGCAAGUCGAGCGAACAGAUGAGAAGCUUGCUUCUCUGAUGUUAGCGGCGGACGGGUGAGUAACACGUGGGUAACCUACCUAUAAGACUGGGAUAACUCCGGGAAACCGGGGCUAAUACCGGAUAAUAUUUUGAACCGCAUGGUUCGAUAGUGAAAGACGGUUUCGGCUGUCACUUAUAGAUGGACCCGCGCCGUAUUAGCUAGUUGGUAAGGUAACGGCUUACCAAGGCGACGAUACGUAGCCGACCUGAGAGGGUGAUCGGCCACACUGGAACUGAGACACGGUCCAGACUCCUACGGGAGGCAGCAGUAGGGAAUCUUCCGCAAUGGGCGAAAGCCUGACGGAGCAACGCCGCGUGAGUGAUGAAGGUCUUCGGAUCGUAAACUCUGUUNUUA
rnacentral:rRNA from 2 species